UACGAAGGUGGCAAGCGUUGUUCGGAUUUACUGGGCGUACAGGGAGCGUAGGCGGUUCGGUAAGCCCUUUGUGAAAUCUCCAGGCUUAACCUGGAACAGUCGGAGGGGACUGCCGGGCUAGAGGACGGGAGAGGAGCGCGGAAUUCCCGGUGUAGCGGUGAAAUGCGUAGAGAUCGGGAGGAAGGCCGGUGGCGAAAGCGGAUUGCUGGUCCUUUUCUGACGCUGAGGCGCGAAAGCCAGGGGAGCAAACGGG
rnacentral:rRNA from 1 species